rnacentral:rRNA from 1 species
UUUUUAAUUAAUAAGAAAUUAUGUUUGUAAUUUAUUUUUUUAUAAAAGUAUUUUAUUUAUUUUUUGUUUUAGUAUUGAGUAAAAAUAAAUUUUUAGAUUUAUAGUUAAUUAGUAUUGUAAAAGAAAUUUAAUAAAUUUAAAAAAGAUUUAUUUAGUACCUUUUGUAUCAGGGUUAAUUAAAAUUAUUAAUUUAUUAUUAAUUUCUCAAAAUUCAUAGAGUUAAUUUUAUUAUUAAGUUAUUGUUUAAAAAAUAUUUAAAAAAUAAUUUUAGUUUUUAGAUUUAAUUUCGUUAUGAUAUAUUUAGUUAUUUAAGAUUUAAAUUAAAUUUAUAAUUUUAAUAGUUAUAUUUAUUUAUUUUAUAAUUUAUAUUUUAAAUUUAAAUUAUUUUAGGGAUAAGCUUAAAAUUUAUAUAUAAUAAUUUAUGAGGAUUAAUAUUUUAUAGGAAUAAAAAUUUUUAUUUAAGUUUGUAAAAAUUUAUUAUUAAUUUAAAUUUAAUUUAUUAUAUUUUUAUUUAUUUUUUAUAUUAAAUUUUAUAAUAUAAUAUUUUUAUUAUAGUAAUAAUGAUUAAAUUAGUAUAAUUAAUAUUUAUUAAUUAUGAAUUCGGCAAAAAUUUAUUUUCAUCUGUUUAACAAAAACAUUGUAUUAAUUUUUAUUUAAUAUAGGAUCUGCUCAAUGAAAAUUUUUUAAAUAGCUGCAGUAUUUUGACUGUGCAAAGGUAGCAUGAUAAUUAGUCUUUUAAUUGGGGACUUGAAUGAAAGAUUUGAUGAAAAAUAAACUUUAUUAUUAAUAUAUUUAAAAUUUUAUUUUUAAGUAAAAAAGCUUAAAUUAUUUAAAGGGACGAUAAGACCCUAUAAAACUUUAUAAUUAUUAAAUAUUUAUAUUUAUUUGUUAAAUUAUUAUUUAAAUUUUAAUAAUUAUUUUAUUGGGGUGAUAAAAAAAUUUUAUUAACUUUUUUUAAAAUUUUACAUUAUUUAAUGAAUUUUUGAAUUAAAAUUUUUAAUUAUAGGAAAAAGUUACUUUAGGGAUAACAGCGUAAUUAAUUUUUUAAGUUCUAAUUUUAAAAUUAGU